rnacentral:rRNA from 1 species
AUGUCGGGGGCUACCGCCGCACCCUUAUCGAACGACACCAUCUUCGACAUCCUCUGCCGGACGCCGGUUAGGUCCGUCUGCCGAUUCCGAUGCGUCUCAAGGGGGUGGCGCGACCUUAUCUCCGGCCCGGACUUCGCCACCGUGCACAGGUCCCGCCACGGCCCGCUCCUCGUCGACACCGGCUACUUUCGACAAGAAGCACCCGCCGCCGGCCGUGAUAUGCGCCUCAUGGACAUGGAAGGCAACGUCAUCAGAGUCAUCACGGUCGUCGGAGGUUUUGGGAUCACGUGCUCCUCGAGCCUCGACGACCUCAUCACCGUCAGCCGCGGUCCGUCAAACGACAUCCAUGUAGCCGAUCCAGCCUCCGGCCAGGUUCUCCUGACCUGCCCAGGAAUGGAGGUGAGGGCGCUUGACGUGCAUCCAUUCAUUGCCAUGGCUCGCUAUGAAAUCUAUGGCUUCGGCCGUGCCAUUUCGUCUGAUGAAUACAAGGUGGUCCGCAUUGCCAAGGACAAAAGAACUUGUGAGGUCCUCACUUUAGGAGACGACCCAUCAUCAGCCUAG